rnacentral:rRNA from 1 species
AGUGAACGCUGGCGGUAGGCCUAACACAUGCAAGUCGAACGGCAGCACAGUAAGAGCUUGCUCUUACGGGUGGCGAGUGGCGGACGGGUGAGGAAUACAUCGGAAUCUACUUUUUCGUGGGGGAUAACGUAGGGAAACUUACGCUAAUACCGCAUACGACCUACGGGUGAAAGCAGGGGAUCUUCGGACCUUGCGCGAUUGAAUGAGCCGAUGUCGGAUUAGCUAGUUGGCGGGGUAAAGGCCCACCAAGGCGACGAUCCGUAGCUGGUCUGAGAGGAUGAUCAGCCACACUGGAACUGAGAAACGGUCCAGACUCCUACGGGAGGAAGCAGUGGGGAAUAUUGGACAAUGGGCGCAAGCCUGAUCCAGCCAUACCGCGUGGGUGAAGAAGGCCUUCGGGUUGUAAAGCCCUUUUGUUGGGAAAGAAAAGCAGCAGGUUAAUACCCCGCUGUUCUGACGGUACCCAAAGAAUAAGCACCGGCUAACUUCGUG